AGGCUUGGUACACGAACAAAGGCUAUCAUGCGAUGCCAACUUUUCUUAGUGUUGCAACAAAUACGUUCUUACGUGAGCGAGUUGCCUCAAAAGGCAAAAACCCAAGACAGUAUGGUAUGUUCUCUGAAUGCAUGUAGAAAUCAUUGUCCUUUUUUUAAUAUUUAACAAUUAUUCACGGAAGUGGAGGUGAACAUUGCAAGGAUUUUAUUUCACUUUUUACCGACACUGGGGUGAAUAAUUGUUUCACCAUAACAAAACAAGAAUGCCAAAAAAAACACGAAAAUAUUUGUAAAAGAAUUUGUAUUACAACUCCAAAACUCCCGUAAUACCUGUAGUAAUUCCUGUAUGUAAGCAACAGUAUUCGCAAGCUUUUAGUAAUUUUGUCGUUAGAAAUAAAGAAUACUUCUACACACUGUUAAACAAAACUUUGUGCUUUUCUUUGUGUUAGAACCGCAGAUUCGUUUAGUAUAGAAAAAAUUGCUCGUCUGUAACCGGAACAAAACGGGAAGCCAUUUUGUUUUCUUCUGGAAGUGAAUAUGCCAAUAAUAUUUAAUCACUCACGUAUUAUAAACCAUUGGAAAACACAUAUCUUUUUUUCUCGCUUUCAGGAAUAACCACGUAUAAUCAUCCCAUGAACCUUACGAAGGGCGAACUCUCUCAAUCAACAUUGUAAGUCUUUCCAAGUUUUACGACCACAGUUUAACUUUGGAAACUAUCUUGUUGGAUCUUAGUGGUUUUAUGUGUGACCCUCCAAUGGCAAUAUGCCAAACCAGAAAUACAGUAAACAAGCAAUGAUUCAAUGACAGCAAAGCCGGAGGACACUUUUGCACACAAGCAUGCAACUUGCUUACAAUUUGGAUUGUACUGUGUAAAUCAAGCACACAACUCACCUACGUUGUCGUUGUGUGCUUGAUUAACACAGUACAACUCACCUACGUUGUCGUUGUGUGCUUGAUUAACACAGUACAACUCACCUACGUUGUCGUUGUGUGUUUGAUUAACACAGUGCAACUCACCUACGUUGUCGUUGUGUGCUUGAUUAACACAGUACAACUCACCUACGUUGUCGUUGUGUGCUUGAUUAACACAGUACAACUCACCUACGUUGUCGUUGUGUGCUUGAUUAACACAGUACAACUCACCUACGUUGUCGUUGUGUGUUUGAUUAACACAGUACAACUCACCUACGUUGUCGUUGUGUGCUUGAUUAACACAGUACAACUCACCUACGUUGUCGUUGUGUGUUUGAUUAACACAGUACAACUCACCUACGUUGUCGUUGUGUGCUUGAUUAACACAGUACAACUCACCUACGUUGUCGUUGUGUGCUUGAUUAACACAGUACAACUCACCUACGUUGUCGUUGUGUGUUUGAUUAACACAGUACAACUCACCUACGUUGUCGUUGUGUGUUUGAUUAACACAGUACAACUCACCUACGUUGUCGUUGUGUGUUUGAUUAACACAGUACAACUCACCUACGUUGUCGUUGUGUGCUUGAUUAACACAGUGCAACUCACCUACGUUGUCGUUGUGUGUUUGAUUAACACAGUACAACUCACCUACGUUGUCGUUGUGUGCUUGAUUAACACAGUACAACUCACCUACGUUGUCUGUGUGUUUGAUUAACACAGUACAACUCACCUACGUUGUCGUUGUGUGUUUGAUUAACACAGUACAACUCACCUACGUUGUCGUUGUGUGUUUGAUUAACACAGUACAACUCACCUACGUUGUCGUUGUGUGCUUGAUUAACACAGUACAACUCACCUACGUUGUCGUUGUGUGCUUGAUUAACACAGUGCA
rnacentral:lncRNA from 1 species